CGACAGGCUUAUUUGGGAAAAGGGUCUUUGUCCAGAGACAAAGGCCCUUAGAAGACAGAGGUCGGGGGAGAUUUGAGAGGGAGGCGACAGAGGCCACGUGAAGAUGAGGCAGAGAUGGGAAUGACACGGCCACGUCCACGGGACACCUGGGGCCACCAAAUGCCAGAAGAGGCGGGAAGAACCUCCCCUGCAGCCUGCAGAGAGAGGACAGUCCUGCCGAUAGCUUGAUUUUGGUUCCGGCCACCAGGACUCGGAGAAAAUAGACUUCUGUUGUUUGCAGCUGCCCCAUUUGUGGUCUUUUGUUGGGUGGCCCCAGACAUAAUCCCAGCACUGGCCUGGCCCGGCCCAUGGGCAGCUGUCCCCAGCCUGGCGGAGGGUGUGGCUGUGAUGUUACCCCCAGGAUAUCCAGUACCGCAGUCUCCAUCUGAGCCGCCAUCGGGCUGUGGGGUGCCUGCUAGCCUGUGGCAGAAGGACCAGGACCUGGGGGCUGGCAGGGAGCAAGAGCUGAGCGAACCAGCUGGGAGGAAGGACUGAGGCCACACCGGUGUCCGGGGGGAUUCGGACGUCACCAGUGUGGAGUCUGGGGGUGUUCUGACUGACUUUAGACAGAAAUUUCUUUUUCUCUCUGGAAAGGGCGGCGGUGGGCCCGUGUGCAGGGGAGCGUGGACUUGGAACUCGGGGAGCCCUGGGUUCUGCCUCAUCCUCUACAUCCCUGUGGGGCCACGUCCACUCACCGAGGGGUUCUUGCCGCCUUGACUGAGGGUGGCCGGGCACCAGCACCUUUGCAGCUUUGCCCAGCACCUUGGCAUGGGGUCGGGGGCGGUGCAGAGUUCUGUUUUACAGGGAAGGGAACUGAGGCACAGGGAGAUGACAGCUCGCCGCUGGUGCUGACCAUGGGCUCACACUGCCUGGCCGCCCGUGCAGCCCCUGCCCUCCAUGACGAACGUGCUCAUGUUUCCUGGCUGCCCCCCGGCCCCACUCCCACCUCCCUGGCUAAACAAGGGAGAUCUUGAUGUGAGUUCUCCUUUUUCCUUUCUGGAAGGAAUGGCAGACUCUGGACAUGCUCCUAGAGAUGGGAGGUCAAAAUGAUCAACGUUCAGGGUCCCUUCAUCUCAGAGGGUCUCGAGUCACCUCAUUUAAAGUGUGGCCUGGGACACCUCCUAUCCAGCCAUACGCCGCCCAGGACUGGCUCAACAGCUCCACCCUCCACUGCUGUUCACCCAUGACACGUCACUUCCCACCCGCCACUGCUGGCUCACCUGUGACACCCCAGGCAGCUCAGAUGCCCGGCAGGUCCUGCUGGUGUGUGUUAGCCGGGGUCUCCAAAGAACCAGAGCCAGCAGGGGACACACCCAUCUCUGUAUCUGGAGAAAAAGAUCGAUGAGAAGGAAUCUGCUCCUGUGAUGAUGGAGGCUGACAAGUCCCGAGAGCCACGGUUGGCACCCUGGAGACCCCUGAGGGUGAUACCACCACUCCAGGCUGAAAGCUGGCAGGCUUGAGACCCUGGGAGAGCUGGCCCUCUGACUCCUGGGACUUCUUAUUCUAUCCUAGUAUUUCCUCAGCUGAGUGCAUGGGGCCAGACCACACUGGGGAGGGCAGUCAGCGUCACUCAGAGCACCGGGUCAUCUCAUGCAGAAACACCCUCAAAGAAAUAGCCCAAAUUAUGCUGACCAAAUAUCUGGGCACCCCGUGCCCCAGACAAGUUGACACAGAAAAUUAACCAUCACAGGUUAACUCCAUCCAGGAGUGGAAUUGCUGGGUCAUAGAGAAGGCAUAGGAAUUCACAGAAAUCACCAAACGGUUUUCAGGCGGUUGUGCCAUGUUAAACUCCCACUGGAAAGAGAGGAGAGCUGUGAUUGUUCCACGUCCUCAGCAACGUUUAGAAUAGGCAGUCUUUGGCCGGGCCGGGCACAGAGGCUCAAACCUGUAACCCCAGCACUUUGGGAGGCCAUAGUGGGUGGAUUACCUGAGAUCAAGAGUUCAAGACCAGCCUGGCCAACAUGGUUAAACCCCGUCUCUAUUAAAAAUGCAAAAAUUAGCCAGGCGUGGUGGUGCGUGCCUGUAAUUCCAGCUACUUGGGGGCUGAGGCAGGAGAAUCGUUUGAAC
rnacentral:lncRNA from 1 species